rnacentral:rRNA from 1 species
GACGAAGGAUGCAAGCGUUAUCCGGAUUCAUUGGGUUUAAAGGGUGCGUAGGCGGAUUUGUAAGUCAGUGGUGAAAGCCAACAGCUUAACUGUUGAACUGCCAUUGAUACUGCAAGUCUUGAGUACAUUUGAUGUGGGCGGAAUGUGUCAUGUAGCGGUGAAAUGCUUAGAUAUGACACAGAACACCGAUUGCGAAGGCAGCUCACAAAACUGUAACUGACGCUGAGGCACGACAGCGUGGGGAUCAAACAGG